rnacentral:rRNA from 1 species
AUUGAACGCUGGCGGCAUGCCUUACACAUGCAAGUCGAACGGCAGCACGGGUGCUUGCACCUGGUGGCGAGUGGCGAACGGGUGAGUAAUACAUCGGAACGUACCUUAUCGUGGGGGAUAACGCAGCGAAAGCUGUGCUAAUACCGCAUACGCCCUGAGGGGGAAAGCGGGGGAUCGCGAGACCUCGCGCGAUUAGGGCGGCCGAUGCCUGAUUAGCUUUUUGGGGGGGUAAAAGCCCACCAAGGCGACGAUCAGUAGCGGGUCUGAGAGGACAAGCAGCCAAACUGGGACUAGAAACCGGCCCAGAUUCUACCGGGAGGAGGCAGUGGGGAAGUUUGGACAAGGGGGGCAACCCUGAUCCAGCAAUGCCGCGUGAGGGAAGAAGGCCUUCGGGUUGUAAAGCUCUUUUGUCAGGGAAGAAACACCGGCUCUAACACAGUCCGGGAAUGACGGUACCUGAAGAAUAAGCACCGGCUAACUACGUGCCAGCAGCCGCCGUAA